rnacentral:RNase_P_RNA from 1 species
UGAGCAAGACAGGCAAUCGCGUGCGUUGAAAAACCGUUUGUUUACGGUUUUUUGGCGCAUGAGGAAAGUCCGGGCUCCGCAGGGCAAGGGCGCCGGAUAACGUCCGGUGAAGGCGACUUUAAGGAAAGUGCAACAGAAACACACCGCCGAAACGGGCGGGCGGCUGUUUUAAGCCGUCCGCGCUGUGGCAAGGUUGAAAUGGUGAGGUAAGAGCUCACCGGCGGCAUGGCAACGUGCCGGCCGUGUAAACCCCGCCCGGAGCAAGGCCGAAUAGGGCGAAGUAUAAAGUGACUGCCCGUCACCGCCCGGUAUGGUGGGCCGCAUGAGCCUGCCGGCGACGGCAGGCCAAGAUAGAUGAUUGCCAUAUACGAAUUGCAUCGUAUAACAGAACCCGGCUUAUGGCUUGCUCACUUU